AUUGAACACUGGCGGCAGGCCUAACACAUGCAAGUCGAGCGGAUGAAGGGAGCUUUCUCCUGGAUUCAGCGGCGGACGGGUGAGUAAUGCCUAGGAAUCUGCCUGGUAGUGGGGGAUAACGUCCGGAAACGGGCGCUAAUACCGCAUACGUCCUGAGGGAGAAAGUGGGGGAUCUUCGGACCUCACGCUAUCAGAUGAGCCUAGGUCGGAUUAGCUAGUUGGUGGGGUAAAGGCCUACCAAGGCGACGAUCCGUAACUGGUCUGAGAGGAUGAUCAGUCACACUGGAACUGAGACACGGUCCAGACUCCUACGGGAGGCAGCAGUGGGGAAUAUUGGACAAUGGGCGAAAGCCUGAUCCAGCCAUGCCGCGUGUGUGAAGAAGGUCUUCGGAUUGUAAAGCACUUUAAGUUGGGAGGAAGGGCAGUAAGUUAAUACCUUGCUGUUUUGACGUUACCAACAGAAUAAGCACCGGCUAACUUCGUG
rnacentral:rRNA from 1 species